rnacentral:rRNA from 1 species
AUUGAACGCUGGCGGCAGGCCUAACACAUGCAAGUCGAGCGGAUGAAGGGAGCUUGCUCCUGGAUUCAGCGGCGGACGGGUGAGUAAUGCCUAGGAAUCUGCCUGGUAGUGGGGGAUAACGUCCGGAAACGGGCGCUAAUACCGCAUACGUCCUGAGGGAGAAAGUGGGGGAUCUUCGGACCUCACGCUAUCAGAUGAGCCUAGGUCGGAUUAGCUAGUUGGUGGGGUAAAGGCCUACCAAGGCGACGAUCCGUAACUGGUCUGAGAGGAUGAUCAGUCACACUGGAACUGAGACACGGUCCAGACUCCUACGGGAGGCAGCAGUGGGGAAUAUUGGACAAUGGGCGAAAGCCUGAUCCAGCCAUGCCGCUUGUGUGAAGAAGGUCUUCGGAUUGUAAAGCACUUUAAGUUGGGAGGAAGGGCAGUAAGUUAAUACCUUGCUGUUUUGACGUUACCAACAGAAUAAGCACCGGCUAACUUCGUG